rnacentral:misc_RNA from 1 species
GAUCGAAACAGGCCUAGGAGUGAGCAGAAGCUCUUAGAGUGGGUAAAGCCAUACAUAUCAGAUUCUAAGAAGUUUCAGCAGAUAAUAGACCCAAGGCUUGAUGGUAAGAUCUCAAGGUCAGCUCAGAAGCUCUCUAUAGUCGCCAACCGCUGCUUAGUCAGACAUGCAAAGACACGUCCAAAAAUGAGCGAAGUCCUGGAAAUGGUGAACAAAGUUGUCGAGACAUCAACAGGAAUAGGAAACCCUGGACCACCUGUGAGAAUCGCGGAACCAACUUCACCAGAAUCUACAAGGAAAGGUAAGAGGAAGGUAGACACCAAACUCGGAGAUGGUAGCCGGUUAGUACGUAUAUGGUCAACAAAGCUUACAAACACUUGUUAAUACAAUAGUUUCCAAUAUGCACAAAGAGAAAACAGAGUUGAAAAGGUAAUGAAGAAGCACAGAUUAUAUAACUAGUUCCCAAUAUGAAUGAGGUCUUCUCCAUUAUUGUCUUAUAUUUAUAUAUAAUAUAGAUGUUUAAAUUUAUAGAGAAAAUCGUAAUCAUUCAAAUGUACAUUCAAAUUUAGACGUGUUUA